rnacentral:rRNA from 1 species
UACGUAUGGUGCAAGCGUUAUCCGGAUUUACUGGGUGUAAAGGGAGCGUAGGCGGGCUUUAAAGUGAGAUGUGAAAUACUCGGGCUCAACUUGGGUGCUGCAUUUCAAACUGGAAGUCUAGAGUGCAGGAGAGGAGAAUGGAAUUCCUAGUGUAGCGGUGAAAUGCGUAGAGAUUAGGAAGAACACCAGUGGCGAAGGCGAUUCUCUGGACUGUAACUGACGCUGAGGCUCGAAAGCGUGGGGAGCAAACAGG